GAUGAACGCUGGCGGCGUGCCUAAUACAUGCAAGUCGAGCGAACAGACGAGGAGCUUGCUCCUCUGACGUUAGCGGCGGACGGGUGAGUAACACGUGGAUAACCUACCUAUAAGACUGGUAUAACUUCGGGAAACCGGAGCUAAUACCGGAUAAUAUAUUGAACCGCAUGGCUCAAUAGUGAAAGACGGUUUUGCUGUCACUUAUAGAUGGAUCCGCGCCGCAUUAGCUACUUGUUAAGGUAACGGCUGACCAAGGCAACGAUUCGUAGCCGACCCGGGAGGGUGAACGCCCACACUAGAACCGAGACCCGGUCCCGACGCCUACGGGAGGCAGCAGUAGGGAAUCUUCCGCAAUGGGCGAAAGCCUGACGGAGCAACGCCGCGUGAGUGAUGAAGGUCUUCGGAUCGGAAAACUCUGUUAUUCGGGAAGAACAAAUGUGUAAGUAACUAUGCACGUCUUGACGGUACCUAAACGAAAAGCCACGGCUAACUACGUG
rnacentral:rRNA from 1 species